GACAGCAGCGAUUCCAGCCUGUAGCCUGAUUUCAUUGAAGCUCAGGAGCUGAGCAAGACUGGGCCUGGUCCGUAGUGGGGUGGGAAACCUCUAAGGAAAACCAGGUGUCUGCUGUAG
rnacentral:rRNA from 1 species